GACGAACGCUGGCGGCGUGCUUAACACAUGCAAGUCGAGCGGUAAGGCCCUUUCGGGGGUACACGAGCGGCGAACGGGUGAGUAACACGUGGGUGACCUGCCCUCAGCUCUGGGAUAAGCCUGGGAAACCGGGUCUAAUACUGGAUAUGACUCCAUGACGCAUGUUGGUGGGGUGGAAAGCCUUGUGCGGCUGAGGAUGGGCCCGCGGCCUAUCAGCUUGUUGGUGGGGUGANGGCCUACCAAGGCGACGACGGGUAGCCGGCCUGAGAGGGCGACCGGCCACACUGGGACUGAGACACGGCCCAGACUCCUACGGGAGGCAGCAGUGGGGAAUCUUGCGCAAUGGGCGAAAGCCUGACGCAGCGACGCCGCGUGAGGGAUGAC
rnacentral:rRNA from 1 species